rnacentral:rRNA from 1 species
AGAGUUUGAUCCUGGCUCAGAUUGAACGCUGGCGGCAUGCCUUACACAUGCAAGUCGAACGGCAGCACGGGAGCUUGCUCCUGGUGGCGAGUGGCGGACGGGUGAGUAAUACAUCGGAACGUACCCUGAAGUGGGGGAUAACGUAGCGAAAGUUACGCUAAUACCGCAUAUUCUGUGAGCAGGAAAGAGGGGGAUCGCAAGACCUCUUGCUUUAGGAGCGGCCGAUGUCGGAUUAGCUAGUUGGUGAGGUAAAGGCUCACCAAGGCGACGAUCCGUAGCGGGUCUGAGAGGAUGAUCCGCCACACUGGGACUGAGACACGGCCCAGACUCCUACGGGAGGCAGCAGUGGGGAAUUUUGGACAAUGGGCGCAAGCCUGAUCCAGCCAUGCCGCGUGAGUGAAGAAGGCCUUCGGGUUGUAAAGCUCUUUCGGUGGGGAAGAAAUUGCUUCGGUUAAUACCUGGAGUAGAUGACGGUACCCGCAUAAGAAGCACCGGCUAACUACGUG